rnacentral:lncRNA from 1 species
AUGGCUGAUGAAGAGUCCUAAUACUCGUGAACUAUGAGUCCUAUGUGUCUGAGACUCUGUGAUCAAGAAUCAAGAUUCUCUGAUCAUGAGUAUCACACAUUUUGGGUACCGGGGUUAAGAGUCCCACUGGUUUGAGACUCUUCGAUCAAGGUUUCAUAUCGAUGGACUUUGAUACCCGAUUGCCCAUUGGAUUUGGACUCAGU